UCUUUCUUUGCUGGCGACCGGCGCACGGGUGAGUAACACGUAUCCAACCUGCCCUUUACUCGGGGAUAGCCUUUCGAAAGAAAGAUUAAUACCCGAUAGCAUAAUGAUUCCGCAUGGUUUCAUUAUUAAAGGAUUCCGGUAAAGGAUGGGGAUGCGUUCCAUUAGGCUGUUGGUGGGGUAACGGCCCACCAAGCCUUCGAUGGAUAGGGGUUCUGAGGGGAAGGUCCCCCACAUUGGAACUGAGACACGGUCCAA
rnacentral:rRNA from 1 species